rnacentral:rRNA from 1 species
CACGUAGGGCGCAAGCGUUGUCCGGAAUUAUUGGGCGUAAAGGGCUCGUAGGCGGUUUGUCGCGUCGGGAGUGAAAACCCAGGGCUUAACUCUGGGCUUGCUUUCGAUACGGGCAGACUAGAGGUAUGCAGGGGAGAACGGAAUUCCUGGUGUAGCGGUGAAAUGCGCAGAUAUCAGGAGGAACACCGGUGGCGAAGGCGGGUCUCUGGGCCGAUACUGACGCUGAGGAGCGAAAGCGUGGGGAGCGAACAGG